AGGGUCAGCAACGCGCUUGCGAUGUUUCUCAUGUUGCAGGCUUCUAUAAGCUACGGUCACGUCUUACCAUAAGGUGAGCCGUACGCUUGUUUGCCGACCUAGUGACAU